rnacentral:rRNA from 1 species
AGCGAACGCUGGCGGCAGGCCUAACACAUGCAAGUCGAACGAACCUUUCGGGGUUAGUGGCGGACGGGUGAGUAACACGUGGGAACGGGCCUUUAGGUUCGGAAUAACUCAGGGAAACUUGUGCUAAUACCGAAUGUGCCCUUCGGGGGAAAGAUUUAUCGCCUUUAGAGCGGCCCGCGUCUGAUUAGCUAGUUGGGUGAGGUAAUGGCUCACCAAGGCGACGAUCAGUAGCUGGUCUGAGAGGAUGAUCAGCCACAUUGGGACUGAGACACGGCACAAAAUCCUCCGGGAGGCAGCAGUGGGGAAUCUUGCGCAACGGGCUAAAGGCUGACGGAGCUCUGCCGCGUGAAUGAUGAAGGUCUUAGGAUUGUAAAAUUCUUUCACCGGGGCCGAUAAUGACGGUACCCGGAGAAAAAGCCCCGGCUAACUUCGUG